rnacentral:rRNA from 1 species
GGCUACGCUGGCGGCGUGUCUUAGCCAUGCAAGUCGAGCGGACUUAUGGGGUAACUUAUAAGUCAGCGGCGGACGGCGGAGUAACACGUAGCUAACCUACCCUCUGGACGGGGAUAACCUACCGAAAGGUGGGCUAAUACCCGAUGUAGUCAUCCUGUAUAGGGGUGAUGAAAGGUGGGCUUCUGUUUACAAGCUCAUGCUGGAGGAGGGGGCUGCGGCCUAUCAGGUAGUUGGUAGGGUAAUAGCCUACCAAGCCGAUGACGGGUAGCCGGCCUGAGAGGGUGACCGGCCCGAGGGGCACUGAGAUACGGGCCCUACUCCUACGGGAGGCAGCAGUGGGGAAUCUUGGACAAUGGGCGAAAGCCUGAUCCAGCGACGCCGCGUGGAGGAAGAAGUCCUUCGGGAUGUAAACUUCUGAACUAGCCGAAUAAAAGGCCUGUGGACACACAGGAGAAGAAAGUAGGCUAGGAAAAGUCCCGGCUAACUACGUG